CUGGAUUUUUCCAUAAACUCAAUAAUUAUGACAUUUUGUGUUUUAUGCUUAUAUUUUCCUCUAUAGAAAUAACGAUAAAUUAAAUCGUAACAAUAAUAUAAAUUAUUUUCUUAACUUACAUUUCAAAACUGUCCAGUUUGUAUUACAUCGCACAUUACUUGUCAAUCAGAUCCUGAAAUCAAUAUUUUAACAUGGAAUAUUCCACAUAAUACAGCGCUCGCCGAUGAUGAAUUUUAUAUACCAAGUCUUCUAACUGUAGGCAAUUCAAUCUUGGAUCUAAUUUACCCAUCUUACAAAAAACGCUAUUAGGCUGGAUUGUUUCGGGACACUAUAAGAUGGGCAGUAACAACAUAUCUAAAACAUCUUGUUUAUUUUUAGCCAAUGAAUCUUUAGAUGCCAAAUUGGAAAACCUGUGGAAAUUGGAAGAAGUCACUACCAUACCAGAGGCAUGGACUCGUGAACAACAGAGUUGCGAUCACAAAUACAAUUCAACUCUGUCAAGAAGGCCCUACGGCAUUGAGACGAUUCAAUGCACAAGAACGUCGAUUAGCCCACAACUGAAAGCACAAUACGUUGAAUUUAUGAGCGACUACGAGAGUUUGGGUCAUAUGAGCGCAGUAAAAAAUCCAAAUCUCAGCGAACCGCAUUAUUAUAUACCACAUCAUUGUGUGCUAAAACCAACAAGUACAACAACAAAGCUUCGAGUUGUAUUUGACGCUUCCUGUCGAACCACAUCCCAAAAAUUCAUUAAACGAUAUUCAGAUGGUUGCCCCUACAAUUUAAUGCGAACUUUUUCUUCUUCUUCUUCGUUUUCGAUUCCAUAGGUUUACACUCACUGCCGACAUAGUCAAGAUGUAUCGUUAAGUAUAAUUGCACGAUGAUCGAAAGUUCCAGUACAUUCUGUGGAGGAGUUCACCGACUGAAUAUAUUCACACGCAUCAACUAAAUACUGUCUAGCUGAGCAGCAUUCAGAACAACUUACAAUUGGCGCAAAAAUCGUGAAGUCAUCAUCCUACGUAGACGAUCUACUCUCUGGUGCUGAUACUCUAACCGAAUUUUUACUGAUAAAGCAAGAGAAAGAGCUUACGAUAAAUGGCCCGUUACGCUAUUUACAUCCUUUUCUCGAGUAUACCGAAGGAUUUUAAAUACUCAAAGUUGGGAGUCGAUUGGAAUCAGUAGAUAUUCCAGAAGAAUGAAAACACUUCAUCCUGUUGCUAAGCAAAUGCGAAUUUGUUGUGCAUUACGUUCGCCAUCUACAACGGAAACACUACCAUGCAUAACCCAAGGCACUCGUAGCACUGAUACUUACAUCGUGCACACAUUGUAUACGUUACAAGUCGAAGCUGAUGACCCAAGUAAUGGGACAGUUACCUGUCGAGCGAUUAACUCCAUCUCGCCCUUUUGUCCGGUGCGGUAUUGAUUUCUGUGUAUCAGUCAACGUAUAUUUGCGUAUUCGCACCUUAUAAAGCGUACAAGGGAUCUUCGUUCGUCCAGCGACAAGGGAGGCUCACAUCGAACUCAUAUCGGAUCUAUCCACGGACGCAUUCUUAGCGUCAUUGAAGCGCAUGAUUGGAAGAAGAGGUCUACCCGCUGACAUCUUUUGUGAUAACGCAACAAAUUUUGUGGGUGCUUGCAACAAACUAGCAGAAUUAAAAGCACCUGAUUUCGACGGUAUUUUGGAGGCAGCAGUCAAAUCUGCUAAGGGUCAAAAAUGCAAGACUAACAGCUGAGAAACUAUAUACAGUCCUGGUUAAGAUAGAAGCUGUGUCAAAUUCUCGGCCAAUAACACCAAUGUCAUCGGAUCCAAACGAUUAUGAAAUAUUAACUCCGGGGCAUUUUUUUAUUGGUAGUGCGCUUAGGGCACUCCCAGGGCGGAGAUUGUCAGCUAACAUCAACAAGCAUUAAACAGAUGUUUUGGAGCAGGUGUUCAAAUGAAUACAUAUACGAACUUCAAGUACAAUCAAAGUGGUUUUUGGAUCGACCAAACAUCAACAAGAACUCCAUGGUUAUCAUCAAUGAAGAUAAUUUACCACCACAAAACUGGGACAUUGGAAGAGUUAUAAACUGUAUUCCAGGAAAGAACUUUUAAGUACGUGUGGUGGACUUUCGAACAAUGUCGGGAAUAAUUCGGCGACCAAUUCACAAGCUAGCAUUUCUACCUGUUUGAAAUGCCUUUCAACGGGGCCGGGAUGUUGGGUCACCGAUUGAUAACCACUGUAUUAUACGGUCAUAUGUUCUUACAUAUUUUUUUCUGUUUCUUGUUUUCUAUUUAUUUGUCUAAUAUUCAAGGGCAAACAUUAGAAGUCAUUCAACUCAAUGCAGUUAAUAAUUGUAUUUGCAUUGUGUAUAUAUGUACAUAUUUGCUUAAUUGCGUUUGCUUUGUACGAUUAUGCUACCGCUAUGUUUUCGUCCACGCAACUAUAUGAAUAUUUGUUUGUGCACAUUAGCUAGUCCCAUUUAACAUGUACUAAGCUUAAUAUGUAAGCAGCCUCUUGCAAAGUUGAAUUCCCAUUUUUUACAUUAUAUACGAAAGAGUAAUAGCGUAAAGUAUGUAUUUGGGUUAUUCUCCUUUUAUGAACUGUUAAAUUUAUGUAACCUACAUCCUUAUGUAUUGUAUAUAUGCACUAAUACAAAACGAAAUUAUGUAAUUAGCGGAAACUAUGUAUUGAAAUAUUGCUUAGAAUAUUAUUUAAGGAAAAGAAUUUUGCAAAUAAAGUUACUCUAAUAGCUGAACACACAUAGCGUCAAUACU